rnacentral:lncRNA from 1 species
CCGGCGGAGGCGUGUGCGUGCGCAGCGCUGUGGUAACUGCUGUCGCCGGCAACGCCACACAAGGGUGGGGCCUCAACUGGGUGGGCGGCGGGUUUUCCCUCCUUAUCGGGCCAGCCAGGGGGAAACCGAAUCCACGGGAGACCCUCGCUGCCGGAGGUCAUCACAGAGAAUGAAUCAAGAAACGGGUGGACCGUGGAGAUCAAACCACCCCCCUUGAUCCAGCCAUUUAAGUGGUCCUCUCUGCCUUUGCCAUAAGAUGCCAAGAUGACCCAGCAUAAGGAAACCAAUUGGCCAAGGUAAACAUAUAUGCUGUCAAGUCCACAGCAAGGGUGGGAUAAACAUCAUGACUAUCACACGAUGGAUACCAUAUAGGGCAUGCUAUAGAUGUUUUCCUGAGUCUGAGCGAUCAUCAAGCCUACUGGGAGAAAGAGCUGAUCAGCCCCUUUAUGGAUGUGAAACAUGCUUCAGAGGCUGCUGCAGACAUCAGAUAGUCUAAACAGAGCACUAGUACUUAGCAUGAAGUACCUCAAAGUCUCUUCUCUGGUGGAGGUGCCAUUGUACCAC